rnacentral:rRNA from 1 species
UACGUAGGGUGCGAGCGUUAAUCGGAAUUACUGGGCGUAAAGCGUGCGCAGGCGGUUUUGUAAGCCAGAUGUGAAAGCCCCGGGCUCAACCUGGGAACCGCGCUUGAGACUGGCACGCUCGAGUUCGGGAGAGGAUGGUGGAAUUCCCAGUGUAGAGGUGAAAUUCGUAGAUAUUGGGAAGAACACCGAUGGCGAAGGCAGCCAUCUGGACCGACACUGACGCUGAGGCGCGAAAGCGUGGGGAGCAAACAGG